ACUACUAGAAUAAGUCAUUUUAGCCUCCUAGUUUAGAGUCGGCCACCGACACGGACACUAUUAGUGUCGGCUAAGCCUACACUAACGGACUCUAUCUAGGUACAUCUUUUAAGACAAGUUAUUUUUUUAUCAGUGUCGGCAAAACCGACUCUACUUGUUAUGUUAUCUUUGCAGAAUGUUUGAUUAAUUUAUUUAGAGUCGGUGAGACCGAUUCUAUCUAGUAGCAUUAUUUUUUAAUUACUAUUUAUUUACUUAGAGUCCGCUGAGCCGACUCUACUCUUAUUUUAUUUAUUAAUUAGAGUCCGCUUGGCGGACUCUAUGGAAUUUUCUAUUUCGGACCAAAAAUUACGCGACAGCUUAUUUCCCUCUUUCCUUUUCCCUCGUCAUUUUUCACUCUCCCUCCAUUUCAUUUCACAAAACCAAAACCCUAAUUCCAUGCUAAUUCGUGAAUCCCUUUUUUCCCUAUUUCGUGAACCGAUUCGUGAAUCCCUAAUCCGUGAAUCCAUUGAAGAAUCCCUAAUUCCCUAAUUCAAAAUCCCUCGUUAAAGGGUUUCUGAAUCAUCAAAGGUAAUGCAUAUUCAUCUCAAGUGAUUUCCAUGGAGUUUUGGUUUAAUGAGUAUGAGAUAGUCAUAUGUUUUAUGUUUUCUGAAUGUAGGUUUUCCAGAACUAUCGGCUUUGUGGAUGCUGGAAUCAAGUUUUCUUUGCAAGUUUAGUAUUGUUUCCAAAUAUGUUUAAAGUCUCCUUUAAGUCUGAAACUACAAAAAUCAAAUUAUUUGCUAAUUGGUUUUCUGAAUGUAGGUUUUCAAGAAUGCUCAUCUUACUUAGUGGAGGCAGUAAGCAGUUGUUGAAUGCAAGUUANNN
rnacentral:lncRNA from 1 species